CCCGCCGCGGAGGGCGGUGUGGGCAGCGCCUGCGCUGAGGGCGGUUGGCUGGCGCGGGCAGGGCGCGCGGGGCCGCCCGCCUCGGCGCAUUCCUCUCACGCCGUCUUCGGGCCGCCGCUGCCCCACCUUCGGCGGUAUCGGGACUGCGCCCGGCGGCCUGUGGGUGCCCGGAGGUGCCCCCGCGCCCGCCCUCUCGGCGGGGCAAACCUCGCAGCAUAGGUCUGUCUGUACCGCCACCCCGGGUCAAAGCCGAGGGGGUGGUUUGACGGCGGGGCGAGAGAGUCAUUAUCUUGAAAAAGUCUGCCAAAAGCCAGGGUGCAGGCGUACAGGCCCACGCAGCUUGUACCCGACUGGAAAGCUUGAACCUGACCCGAAGACCACAAGAAGUUACUGGAAUGACCCCCUGAAAACUACGCUGAUUCAGUGCCCAGUUACAGAUAAUUUCUUUCCUGUGACUGCAUCCACAGGGGGUGUUUCCUGGUAAACUCCUUUUGUGCUUGAUUUGAAAAAACUUCUCUAUAUAGAAAAGGUAGGUUUAAUGGCUCAGCGGAAAGUGAAAAUCUUCACUAAAAAUGUAAAUAGGACUGGUACCUGGAACUGGUUUUAGCUAGGUGCUGCUUCAAAUGUUUAAUAACUUGUUAGAGAAAAAUUAAAACUGCUUCUGUUUCUAAUGCCUAUAAUUGUCUUAAGGCUUUUGAUCUUUCAUCUUAAUACAGGAGGUUAAAGGAUGCUUGUUAGUUUCUGCUAUGGAGUAAGGAUAACGCUUCCCUGACUAUUCUGUGCCAUUUCUUUUACAUAUGCUGGGAAGAAAUAGAUAGUCCUUACAAGUCCUCUGAUCUGAGGACAAAAUUUAAGUUAGCCUUUGAUUAACCUUGUUUGCUUAUAGUUUUUUCAAAGUUUACUCAAAUCUCAGCUGAUUUUUUUUAUGCUGGGAAUCUACACUACCUGAGACAAGUCAUGGAUUUCUAGGGCUGGCAUGACAGUCAGGUUCACGCUACCAGAAACUAUUAUAUUUCAUCAGCUAUUGGCUAAUUAUUUAUAAAAAUCUGGUUAGGGUUUGCUCUCUGAAAAAAAGCUGUUCUCCUUUACUGGAAAAGAAUAGUUUGGUAUUGACAGCCCUUUCCAGGACGUGCUGCUGCUUGGGAGAAACCGAUGCAGCUGCCACAGGAGUGGCUCAAGCAGACAGUCUGGGAACAGAGCAGGCUGCUUAUAAGCGGCUUCCAAAAUGUAAAAAUACAAAAGAAAAGUAUAAUUGACUGCACAACAGCUGUAAGGAAUGAUAUAUGAGACCUCACGUCCACUAUGUUUUCCAAACACAAAAAGGAACAACAAACAAACAUGAAAACAGCAUAUGUUUACAAAGUAUAGCCUUACUGCUUGUGUCAUUAUCUGCACAAGCUGUGUCCACAAGGGAUUGAACAGUUAGGAAAGUAUAAAUAGGUUUUGUAUUCUAAUUUUUUUUCUGUAUUUUUUCUUCAAUGGAGAAUGUCAGUAUUUUAAUGGAAACACAAUUUAUAGAAAGAAUGAAGCUCCCACAUCUAACAGUUUCAAUAAGCCAAAACUUGUUCUCAUUUAAGACAGUGAUAGAGCCUUUAGAGGACAGGAUUAGACAUAAUUCUGAUCAAGCGAUUUUCCACAAACCUAGUCUGGAGAAAAUCUCAUCUGUCUUCCACUAACAUGAGCUGUAUGCUUUUGUUUUCUUUAUGGAAAGUGUAAAGAGGGAUUCUUGCGAUUUAUGAACUGGAGGGCUGAUACUGCUGUUUUGGAAGUAAGAAUGUUGCUCAUGUACUUUCCAGAGAAAACAUUAUUUGCUUCUCUUUUCUGCUCUAGUUUUUAGAGCAAGGUUAAUGUUUGUAGAGUAGAAAGGCUUGCUGAAUAGGAAUUGCAAAAGAGUGUUUGGCAGGUAGUUUAGAAGUCCAGUAUGUUUUCUGCGUUGCAGCAAGAAAAGACGCGUCAAUCCAGCUGCUGAUACCAGAUGACAGAACUAUUAUUGAUUACUUUAGGAGUCUUUGAAUUAUGUUGCAGAUCCUGACGCUGUUGGGUAAUACAGUGCUGUCUGAAAAGCAUGAAUGUGGAGUGCGUUUUGCUUGUGUUUCCAUGAAUGACAGUGCUGUUGGGGCAACACAUUUCACAAAACUUUGGAAAUGCAAAAGUUAGCGGUUAGUUUAACCACCUCUGUCUUCUGAAAUCAGUAGAAAGAUACAGGCAGCUCCCAGAGGCAACCUAAAGUACAGGUAGAAUAAGUAAUUCUUUCAGUAUGUCAUCCUUGUCCCUUGCCAAAACCACUGGAGAUACAAGCUGAUGCACAGGGAUGGACUCAGUUGCAUUUUGGAAGAUGUCGCUGGAUAAACCUCACACUUUCACCACCCUUCAGAGAAAAACCAAGAUACCUGCGGCAUCCUGGUAUGAAACUGGUAAGACCUGGACAGCUUGUGCAGAACAUCUAAGAAUAUCUGUUUCUUGGAAUUCUCUCUGUGCGAAAACAUGAGACUUGGGGUUCCUCCUACAAGGGCUGUGCUGUCAGACACUGCAAGGGCUGAUCAGUUUUGUAGGCAGCCUGACUUUGCAGACAGUGGCAUUUAUAACUGAGGAUAAACUAUUGAUAUCUUGGCAGUGGUUUAAACCUUUUCCUGGCUUUGCCACCUGAAGUACAAUUUAGCCAUAAAGAAAAUCUGCAUGGAGGGGCAUGCUGCCAGGUUCUUGUAAAGGAGCAAGCAAUGGAUCUCCAAGCACUUGCCCUUUUACACUUAAAAUAUCUCCAGUUAGCACAUUCACCUGAAUCAUUAGUACUUUAUGCAGAUAAUUUCUAGCACAGCAGAAUGUGAAAUCCAGGCUCAGCUUGCCUCCUUUCUCGGUUUCAGCUACUAAAGAAAUGUGCUCUACUCACUCUGCUUGCGAGAAAGGAGAUAGACCAUGUUUUCGCCUGGGUACAGACUGAGGUGCUGCAUUGUACUCUAACUCAUCUGCCACAGAUUUUGAGAAAUUAUGUUUUUUGUCUUUAUAUGCAUUUACCUGGAUUAGUACAAAACUCAGGGUUCUGUUUCUAAAUGGAAAUAGCCCAUGAUAUCUCGAUAAUAAAUCACAGAAGCUUUAUCAAAAGGUGCGUGAAUUGCUUUGGCUA